GGGAGAUGUGAAAAGAAGAUACUACGCAACAUUGGAGACGGAGAUGCUAAUUUUUUUGGCUCCCCCCCUUCCCCCCCGCUUUAGGUUUAGAACCAAGGAAAAUGAAGUCACCCGUCAGAGUCUACUGCCCUCGUGAUGGAAAGCGAGCGAGAGCGUUGAGACUCUGAGCAUUGUUGAUGCCACGCAAAAGCCAUCCAUCUGGGAGCCGAAGAGAUGCCGCUGUCAGUGAGAUAAGUGUCUUGUUUCAUGAGGGCUCUGCUCACGCCCAACCUGAGUCCAGGUAGAGAAGCCCACUAAGUUAGGGCUGGGUUUGUAUGAAAAGGUUCCUGACUAGCUGUGGUUACAAGGGAGAAAAGGUCCCUACUUUCAGAGGUUGCUCAUUUCUCUGGUCAGGAACAGUGUCUCCUCCGCAGCGGAAGGUUGGAUUCAGGAGGAUGACUCCAGGUGAAGACACGGGCAGGCGUGCUAGGUGUGCAUCUGCAGAGGCCAGGUCUCGGGAGCCAUGGAGAAGUAGGAGCGUACGAAAACCAUGCAGGGCUGUAACUGUCAGUGUUACCUUGGUCUCUGUUCAUCGAGUGGGGCUGAUGUAGAUGGGAUUGGAGAGGGAGGCAGGGAUGAGGGCAAAACUAGACGCCCCAAUGGAGCUCUGUGUAGUGAUAGUUCUUGCUUGGCUUUAUUAGUUUGCGGAGGAAUCGUCCAGGAGCCCUAGCCAGACAAGAAUAUUGCAGAAGUGGACCUGAGUUGUCUGGACAUCCUUCUAAGGAGACAUGAAUAGUCCUCAUGUUUCUGCCUUCUGCAUCGCUGGCUGUGAGUAAUAGUUGAGUGCUUUGAAUUCCUCAUCUGUAGUCGCUGUAGUUUUCUUCACAGGCCGUGUGCUUCCUCGUUGGAUAUGAGGCUCUGGGAUUAAGGCUGGGGAAGGGACAAGAGUCUCCUGAAUAAAGUUUAGUAUCAAGGGAAAAAAAGUCACGCGUCAGAGUCUACUGCCCUCAUGUGAUGGAAAGCUACCGGGAGCGUCGAAACUCUGAGCAUUGUAGAUGCCACGCAAAAGCCGUCCAUCUGGGAGCCGAGGAGACGCCGCUGUCAGUGAGAGAAGUGUCUGGUUUGGUGAGGGCUCUGCUCAUGCGCAACCUGAGUCCAGGUAGGGAAGCCCAGUACGGUAGGGCUGGGGUUGUAUGAAAAGGUUCCUGACUAGCUGUGGUCAUGAGGGAGAAAAGGUCCCUACUUUGCUCAUUUCUCUGGUCAGGAAUGGUGUCUCCUCCGCAUCAGAAGGUUGCAUCCAGGAGGGUGACUCCAGGUGGUGAGUUGCUUGCUUUCCUCCCAUGUUUUUAUUUCUCUCUUUGUCUGUCUCUCUCUCUCUCGUACUUUGGCCAACACACAGCCUCUAUCUCUCCCUCUCUGUCUGUCCUUGCCUUUCCCUGUACUGUCUCCCUUUGUAGGACACAGGCAGGCGUGCUAGGUGUGCAUCCCCACAGGCCAGUUCUUGGGAGCCAUGGAGAAGUAGGAGGGGAGGAAAAUCAUGCAGGGCUGUGACUGUCGGUGUUAUCUUGGUCUCUUUUCGUCGAGUGGGGCCGAGGUAGAUGGGAUUGGAGAGGGAGGGCAAGAUUUGAAGCACCAAUAGAGGUUUGUGUAGUGAUGGCUCAUGCUUGGCUUUUGCAGCUGCGCUUCCAGAGGAAUUUUCCAGGAGCCCUAGCCCGAAGAGAAAGUGGCAGAACUGGACAUGAGCAGACUGGACACCCUUGUCAGCAAACAUGAACAGACCUCGGCUUUCUGACUCCCGCAAAACUGGCUUAUCAGGAAAAGAAAUCGAACGUCAGAGUUUACUCCCCUCGUCGGAUGGAAAGCGAGCGAGAACAGUGAGCCCGCAAGCAUUGUUGAUGCAAGUCAGGAGCCGUCCAGUUGGCAGUGGAGCAGUCGCUAUUGUCAGUGAGAUAAGUGUCUGGUUUGGUGAGGGCUCUGCGUAGGGCCCCCCUGGUCCAGGUAGGGACACCCCGUUAGCUGGGUCUGGGUUUGUAAGAAAUGGUUCCUGACCAGCUGUGGUUAUGAGAGAGACAAGGUCCCCAUUUUCAGGGACUGCGCAUUUCUCUGGCCAGAUACAGUGUGUCCUCGGCAGCUGAAGGUUGCAUCCAGGAGGAUGACUCCAGGUGGUGAGUUGCUUGCCUUCCUCCCAUGUCUUUCUAUCUGUCUCUCUCUCUUCUCUAGUACGUUGGCCAACACACACCUUCCAUCUCUCUAUGUCUGUCCUUGCCUUUCCUUGUUCUGCCUCCCUUCGUAGGACACAGGCAGGUGUGCAUCCCCAGAGGCCAGGUCUCAGGAGCCAUGGAGAAGUUGGAGUGGACGAAAAGGAUCCUGGAGGAAUCGUCCAGGAGCCCUAGCCGGACAAGAAUAUGGCAGAAGUGGACCUGAGCAGCCUGGACAUCCUUCUAAGGAGACAUGAAUAGUCCUCAUGUUUCUGCCUUCUGCAUCGCUGGCUGUGAGUAAGAGUACCAAGGAAAACGAAGUCACGCGUUAGUCUACUGUCCUCAUGUGAUGGAAAGCGAGCCAGAGCGUCGAGACUCUGAGCAUUGUUGAUGCCAUGCAAAAGCCGUCCAUCUGGGAGCCUAGCAGACGCUGCUGAUAGUGAGAAGUGUCUGGUUU